UUUAAAGUCACAAGUUUUAUUUUUUUGUGCAUAAUAACUAUAUUCAUUCGUCAUUCGUUAUAAUUAAGGAAUACUAUUUCCUCUGUGCCGAUUUUGUUUUAUUUUUCAAUGAAAAUUAAUUUGAAUAUUUUUAAUUUUUUUUUAUUUAUAAUAAUUAUAUAAUAUAAUAUAUACCAAUAAUAUUUUGGAUUAGACUUAAAUUAUUUUGUCGUUUUAAUAACUGCGUUUCUAAGUAUACAUUGUAUACUAUACACAUCAAGCUAUUGUAUUAAAAAACGACGAAAAAUAAAGUUUACGACGGGUCCGCGAAACAAUGAAAAUAGAACACUAUUCUCACAGAUCAGUUUAGAUUAAUUGUAAACCGACGUAAAUACAUCAAGCUAUUGUAUUCAAAAACGACAAAAAAUAAAGUUUACGACGGGUCCGUGAAACAAUAAAAAUAGAACACCAUUCUCACAGCACCAGGAAAUAUGUUGAUCACUGUUGGAGACUUUAUUGGGAUUCAUAAAUCUACAGCUGGAAAAUUUGUUUGGAAAGUUUUAAAAGCCAUUGCUAUGUUGAGGUCUAAAUUCUUAACAUUUCCUAAUGAUGUUGAAGGGCUCAAAAUUUGCAGCAAGGAUUCUAUAAAAUAGCAAGGUUUCCAAAGGUCAUUGGAGCGUUGGAUUGUUCUCAUGUGAAGAUCCAAUCACCAGAAAACAAAAGGGCUUAGUUUUUUUAUUUUACAAAUCAAAGAAAUGUGUUUGUAUUGAACUUGAAAUCUGUAUUGGACCUUCAUCGAAUUCAUUGGAAGAUGUGAAAAACACAAAAUCAAAAAAUACGUUGAUCAAUUUCAUUGUUGAAGACAGAAUGACUUUCAUAAGAAAUUAUUAAUCCAGAAUAGAAAAAUCCUAAUGUAAUGCAAAAAAUAACUACAGAUUUUAUAUAGGGAGGGAUAGAGAAUAUAUUAAAAAGGUGUUGUGCGAAACUGACAUCAUUUUGUUUCAUAAUUGCUGUCAAAGUAAUGCUAAUCGUUCAUGUAUUAAAAAUAUCAAUCAUGGUAGAAACAAGUUUUGUUAUUUUCAAAAUAUUUAGUGAUACAACGAUUGAACAAAUCUAUCUAAAAAAAGAGAGUAGAAUUACCUAUGACAAUUAAGUUUUUAUUAUGUAUACCAUGUUUUACUGCAAGGUGUAUUGACGUCAUAAUUAGUACUAUACCAUUUUAAUUAAUAUUUAACUAUAACGUAUUUAUAAUUAACGAGAAUUGGUUAGGCUAUUUUUAACAUAAAGAAUUCGGUCAUACAUAGAAAUAAUAGUUAAUUUUUGUAUGGGAUCCGUUUCUAAUACUAACAUUACUUACAUACAAAUUUAAA